UUUCAUCUCGUUUCCGGUGAGUAUUUCUCUAAAGCUCUCUUCCGUAUAUGUAUGUUGGUUUUCAUCAUUCAGACUUUAUUUUUAUUGUUUACAGGUUAAUUGUGUGAUUAAAAGUUUGAUUUUAAGACUUUUAAUAUUUUUAGAUGAUUGUGCUUGAUACUGGAUGACCUGACAAAUAGGGCUAUGCUCUAGUCGUUUGUGGAGGGAGAAGAAGAAGAAGAAAAGUUUAGUUACAUGAACCGAAAAGUUAGCACGGUCGUUUAAACCAAGUAGGAUACAAUCGAUUUGGGCUGCCGCUUUUUGACUUGCAAGACUGAACUUAUUUUCUCAGUGUGCUACAAAUAGGUUCCCUGAAAUGGCGAUACUCCAACAGCCCCUUCCCCUGAUGGAUAUUCUUGGGUAUACAAAAGUAUCAGUUUUCAUCAGUUUAAGGGUCACUGAACAUAAGAGAAGUUUAAUCAGAAACAUAAUCAGUCAUGAUUUGGGCAGAAUUGAUCAUAUUUUGUGCUUUACUCGGACACCAGUUUCUACCUUUUGACACAAUGAUGAAUCCGAUCGAUGGCUCGGAAUCUGACUCAGAUUCGGACACAGACUCGAACCGUCAUCUCGCUGUGGCAAUUAUGCUACUACGCCUACGCAGGGAAACUUUGAGGAGAGCCAAUAUUGAGGACGAUUGUCGCUUUUCACCCAAUCAUCGACUAGUGAGGCGGAACUGCGAGGGCGCUCUGACGACUUUCAACAGCCUCACCGCACGGGAGAGAACCGUCUGUCCGGAAGCCAGAGAUGCAAGGUGCAGACGAUGCGGCUUGUAUAUGAUCUGUCGUUGCACUUUCCUGUGCAGACUCCCAGAAACGGAUGAACUGCUUCAGAAACAACCGAGUGGCUUCCGCAACGCAUUGGGAAGUUCUCCGAGUGACGUAAGCAGGAGGUUCCGAUGCAAAGCGCUCGACGAUAUAGUUAGGGGUUUGCGUCAUUGAAGGGUAUCACGGGUCAAGUGGCUUAUUGGAACGGAGUUGUUACAUGUGUGAGGAAUUUGCGAUUUGACUGUUGAUUCUUACGUAAAAGUUCGCGAGAAACUCGAUUAUGCCACUGGUUUUCUCUGAUAUCAACUCCCAAGCUUGAAAAAGCUCUCAAGUUGAGGCCAAAAUGGAGGGGAUAUCCCAUGCUAUCCUGAGAGUCCACCUCUACAUCAAGACAAACUCUCCAUGCGAAGAUAGGGAGCAGAUACAUUAGCAGGGUUGCCGUGUUUUCAGUCUUAGAGUCCCCAAAUGAGGUGGCAGCCCUGUCAAUGCAAUUGCUUCCUAUCUUUGCAUGGAGAGUUUGUCUCAGUGUAGAGGUGGACUCUCAGGAUUGCGUGGGAUAUCCCCUCCAUUUUGGCCUCAACUUGAGAGCUUCUCUUGAGCUUGGGAGUUGAUUUCAGAGAAAAGCAGUGGCACCAUUGUGUUUCUCGGGAAAAAUCAACAGUCAAAUCGGAAAUUCCUCAUACACAUGCAACAUCUCCAUUCUAGAAAAAUGCUGAAGUGCAGAGGCGGAUCCAGAAAUUCGGCAACACCGGAUUUCCGCCAUUUAAACCUGUUUAACAAAUCGAUUCUUGGCCUUCACCUGGCCCAUCCAAGAAUCGAUACAUUUCAAUAGGUUUAAAUGGAGAAAAACAACGUUGCUAAUUUUCUGGAUACGCCAAUGCUGUGGUGUGAGUGAUUUUGAACUAAACUCGUGAAUAAAAGUUCUUAAAAAUUCAAACACUACGGCUCUUUUCUUGCCUUGAUUAGUUUUUGAGCUUUGCGUCGAGACGUUGAAAAGUAUCAAGCAGAGUCGUCUGAUUGUAUCGAUCAGAAUCUGCUUACUUAAACGGCGCUCGUUAUAAGUUCUGUAGUAAAUCUUUUUGAAAACAAAUUUAAGUCACUUGCUUUCCAAAUUGCGCUGAUAAAUGUAGUCGCAAGGUUUUGCAGCGUAAUGGAUAGCUCUUGCAUGAGUGUUGGAUUUGCGAUUUAGGUAGUGUUUUGUUGUAAAAUUUCGCGAGAAACACAAUGGUUCGAUGGUGCGAUUGACUUUCUUUGAAACAAACCCAAUAAAUGGACCGAGUUUACCAGAAGGAGUCAACUCACAUUAAAUUGAAACUGAGGAAAACAGGUUUGAAGUUUUAUCCCUGCAUAAGGCUCAAGGUAGAAAAUAAACUGUAACCCCUCUUUUCACAAAUCAAUUUAUUUUUUCCGACUUUUAGUUUUUGGCAGGAGAAAUUAUACGGCUAGUGGAACUCAAAAACAUUCUAAACUCGAUUUUAUCGAAAAUGUGGGCUGGUUCCUUUCUGAUAAACUCGGCCCAAAUAAAGCUCUUGAAGUUGAGGUCGUGAUGGAUGGGAUAUCCCACGCUAUCCUGAGAGUCAACUUCUCAAUAUAUAGUCAAACUUUCUAUGCAAAGAUAGGGAGCAAAUAUAUAUUAAAAGAGUUGCGACUUUCUUUGGUGAUUCCAAUACUGGAAACACGACAACCCUGAUAGUGUCCGAAGAUAUAGAGGUGGACUUUCAGGAUAGCGUGGAAUAUCCCCUCAUUUACAGUCUCAACUUUGAGAGCUUUUUUUGAGCUUUGGAGUUCGUUUCAGAGAAAACCAGUCGCACCAUUGUGUUUCUCGCGAAAUUUCACGCAAAAAAGUACUCAAAUCGUAAAUACCUCACACAUGCAAGAGCUUAAUUCUGGAAGAAAUCCUCUUAACAACAAACUCAAUACACUUUUUUCCCAAUGUUCGCCAGUUGCUAAGUUUUUCCAACGUAAUUGCCUCUCCGAAUAUGUAUCUCAGCUCGAAGGUUCCGAAUUGAAUUUUCAAUCCCCUCCCAUGGAGCUGAAAUAAUUUCGAAUGCAUUUCGCAUUUCUGAAUGUGUAACUAGUGACCCCGAUUAGCCCGUUACAAGCGGGUGGAUGAGAUGCACUAUCCAAAUGGACGUAUUUAUGCUAAAAAGAACUAUGUCUCACGCAAACCCUAUACACAUAGCUCCUUUCAGCAUAAACACGUCCGAAUAAACGUCACUCCGGCAGUAAAAUUUGAGUUAUGAGAUCCGUAUCAUCAGGUUCGCGGGUUCCUUCGUCCACUAACUCUUGUCAAGCAACAGCGUAACGCUGUAGCGCUCCAACUUGUCCAUGAUUCCGAUUACACUUCAACAUUUGGACGUAUUUCUGCCAAACGGAACUAUGUGCAUUGAGACAUGAGCCCUGAGACCCUUAAAAAUAUAUGCACAAAUGGGCUCACGUCAUAAUGCACAUAGUUCUGUUUGGCAGAAAUACGACCGUUUGAAGUAUGUAAGUUAAAAAGGACACAAAAUCAUUUUAAAAACGCUCAGAGACCGCAUAACCUCUUUUAGCAUUAUCAGUCUCUCUAGCAAAAUCUUCAAUUAUAGCUUAGAAUCGGUG
rnacentral:lncRNA from 1 species